rnacentral:rRNA from 1 species
AUUGAACGCUGGCGGCAUGCCUUACACAUGCAAGUCGAACGGUAACAGGUUAAGCUGACGAGUGGCGAACGGGUGAGUAAUACAUCGGAACGUGCCCAGACGUGGGGGAUAACGUAGCGAAAGCUACGCUAAUACCGCAUACGAACUGAGGUUGAAAGCGGGGGACCGUAAGGCCUCGCGCGUUUGGAGCGGCCGGUGGCAGAUUAGGUAGUUGGUGGGGUAAAGGCUUACCAAGCCUACGAUCUGUAGCUGGUCUGAGAGGACGACCAGCCACACUGGGACUGAGAACCGGCCCAGACUCCUGCGGGAGGCGGCAGUGGGGAAUUUUGGACAAUGGGCGAAAGCCUGAUCCAGCAAUGCCGCGUGCAGGAUGAAGGCCUUCGGGUUGUAAACUGCUUUUGUACGGAACGAAAAGGCGCCUACUAAUACUGGGUGUUGAUGACGGUACCGUAUGAAUAAGCACCGGCUAACUACGUGCCAGCCGCCGCAGUAACAC